rnacentral:lncRNA from 1 species
CUCGGUUAAGUGUUGUACGUUGUACCCUUAUCCAACCUAAGGAUGUCGAUGAUUGGCGCCGUCAUGCUAUUUUUCAUACUUAUAUCAAGAUCAACAAUAAAGGUUGUAAGAUUAUUGUUGAUAGUGGGAGCUGUAUUAACACGGUCUCUGUGACCACAGUAUCCCGUCUUGGAUUGAAGUCAGUCCCGCACCCCCAAUCAUAUAGCGUCUCCUGGGUUGACACUUCUUCUAUAGCUGUGAAAGAGCAUUGUCUGGUGCCUAUCCAAUUUCUUGGGUAUAAGGAUCAUAUAUGGUGUGACGUUAUCCCUAUGGAUGUUGGGCAUGUCAUUCUUGGUCGACCUUGGUUGUUCGAUCUGGAUGUAACUAUCCAUGGGCGAUCAAAUUCAUGUUCUUUUGUAUUUAAUGGAAAGAAGAUUCACCUUAAUCCUUUAUCACCAAAAUCUGUUGACUUACACCAAGCCAAAAAAAUUGUCGAGAGGAAAGGAUUACAUGUGAUUAGCCCGGCAGAAAUUGAACGGACAAUCGUAAAUGACUCAAUCGUAUUUGCUGUGAUUGUUAUGAAAGUCCCGUUCGAUCCCCCAAUAGCAACCCCUACUGAAGCCCAUUCACUCCUUCAGGAAUUUAAGGAUGUAUUUCCUGACGACCUCCCUGAUCUACUGCCUACCUUACGGGAUAUUCAACAUGCUAUAGAUCUGGUUCCAGGUUCGUCUCUCCCAAACUUGCCUCACUAUAGAAUGAAUCCUGCUGAACAUGCCGAGCUCUAGAGAUAAGUGGGUGAACUCUUUCACAAAGGCUUCAUUUGUGAAAGUUUAAGCCCUGGUGCAGUGCCCGCCCUCAUGACACCUAAGAAGAAUGGUUCUUGGAAGAUGUGCGUUGAUAGUCGCGCUAUCAAUAAAAUCACUGUCAAGUAUCGUUUUCCCAUCCCUCGACUUGAUGAUAUGCUAGAUAUGAUGGCCGAUGCCACAAUCUUUUCCAAAAUCGAUUUGAAGAGUGGGUGUCAUCAGAUUUGGAUCCGCCCAGGAGACGAGUGGAAAACUGCAUUUAAAACGAAAGAUGGCCUAUACGAGUGGUUGGUAAUGCCUUUUGGACUAACCAAUGCUCCAAAUACUUUUAUGAGGGUGAUGACACAGGCCCUUCGGCCUUUCAUGGGCAAAUUCAUUGUCGUAUACUUUGAAGACAUCCUCGUGUACAGCAAAACAAGGGAACAAUAUCGAGAUCAUCUCACGCAAGUUUGCUCUACAUUGCGUGCAACAAGCUUGUAUGCCAAUGUGAAGAAAUGUUCUUUCUUCACGGAUACAAUUGUGUUUCUCGGAUUUGUUGUUUCCGCUACGGGAGUAUCUGUUGAUCCUGCAAAGAUUCGGGCAAUUGUUGAGUGGCCAGAUCGCAAGAAUAUACAUGAUAUUAGGAGUUUUCAUGGUUUAGCUACCUUUUAUCGUCGUUUCAUCAAGAGAUUUAGUACGAUCCUGGCUCCUAUCACAAAGUGUAUGAAGAGAGGAGAAUUUCAUUGGACGCAGGAAGCGGUUAAGGCCUUUCAGUUAAUCAAAAGGCAAAUGACAGAGGCUCUUGUCAUGCGACUCCCAGAUUUUUCCAAAGUUUUUGAGGUCAAAUGUGAUGCGACAAGGGUAGGAAUAGGUGGAGUCUUGAGUCAAGAACGCCAUCCUAUUGCUUAUUGUAGUGAGAAAUUAAAUGAUGCCAAGCAACGGUACUCGACUUAUGAUAAGGAGUUAUACGCAGUUGUACAAGCCUUGCGCUAUUGGCGUCAUUACUUAUUACCCCACGAAUUUGUCCUCUUUUCUAACUAUGAGGCUCUUCGUUUCCUUAAUUCCCAGAGACGAUUGAAUUCUCGGCAUGGCCGCUGGAUCGAAUAUUUACAAGCCUAUUCUUUUGUCUUAAAGCAUAAGAAGGGUGUUGAAAAUCAAGCUGCUGACGCUUUAAGCCGUCGCAUCUCCUUCUUGUCCGUCAUGAGUGUUAAGGUUCUAGGGUUUGAAAGACUUAAGGAAGAGUACGAGUUAUGUCCCGAUUUCAGGGACAUUUUUCUUGCUUUGCAUAAUGGGGAGUUGGACACCACUGAUGGUUUCCGUUUAGAGGAGGGCUAUCUUUUUAGAUCCAAUAAGUUGUGCAUCCCCAGGAUUUCAGUGCGAGACUUUAUAGUGUGGGAAAGUCAUGCUGAUGGGUUGGCUGGACAUUUUGGGCGUGAUAAGACCAUAGAGGAAAUUGAACAUCAAUUAUAUUGGCUCAGUUUAAAGACUGACGUGGCCAAGAUUGUUGGCACAUGUAACACCUGUCAACGAUCUAAGCACAAAAGGCAGAACACAAGCCUCUACACUCCUCUCCCCGUCCCUAGUUGUCCUUGGUAAGACGUUAGUAUGGAUUUCGUGCUAGGGUUGCCACGUACUCUAAAGAAACACGACUCCAUUUUUGUUGUCGUAGAUCCCUUCUCAAAAAUGGCACACUUUAUUUCCUGUAGCAAGACUUCCGAUGCAUCUAAGGUUGCUAAGUUAUACUUCCAUGAGAUCGUCAAGCUGUAUGGCCUCCCUAAGACCAUUGUCUCUGAUAGGGAUGUUCGUUUCACUAGCCAUUUUUGGCGAACCCUAUGGAGUAUGGUUGGCACUAAACUAAAAUUCUCUACUGCAUAUCACCCACAAACGGACGGUCAAACUGAGGUUGUUAACCGCAGUCUUGGUAAUCUAUUAAGAUGUUUAGUCCAGGAAAAUCUUAGGAAUUGGGACUUAAUUUUUCCUACUGCCCAACUUGCAUAUAACAGUUCAGUGAAUUGAUCUAUAGGUAUGAGUCCUUUUGAGAUUGUUCAUGGUUUUAAGUCUAGGAAGCUGUUAGACCUUAUUCCUAUGUCUCCACAUGCUAGUGUGUCUGUGUCAGUUGAGUCUUUUGCACAACAUCUGCGUGACUUGCAUAUUGAGAUCAAUAAACAGCUAGAAGCGAGUAAUGCAUUAUAUAAACUUCGAGCUGAUUUGCACAAACGCCAUGUUGAAUUUAAUGUUGGGGAUUAUGUUAUGAUUCGAAUUAGACCGGAACGGCGUCCAUCUGGGCCUGCUUCUAAAUUGCAAACUCAUAGUGCUGGUCCUUUUAAAAAUUUAAAGCGUGUUGGCCCAAAUGCUUAUGUCAUUGACUUACCAUCACAUUUUGGCUACCACCCUACCUUUAAUGUUAAAGACUUAGUUGCUUACAAAGGUCAAUUUCACCCCGCUGAUGAUCCUUUCACACCUCCAUCUCUGGACCCUCAUCCUGAACAUGUUAUUCCUGCCCCAAUUCCACCUGCUGCAGCACAUAAAGAUAAAAUUGAUGCUAUUCUAGAUGCACAGACUAUAUUAACCAAGGAUAGAGACAUUCAGCGCUUCCUUGUUCGUUGAGAGGGCCGUCCUGAUUCUGAUUGUACUUGGAUCCCCAAAGAGACACUUCAACAGCUUGAUCCUGACUUGUUGGAGAAUUAUAGGAGUCAACAAGAUCUUCCUCUACCCGGACCACCAUCUUUGCGUGUCUAUAGAUGUCGAAAGAAGUUUGCUCAACCGAUCAGUUUGUGGCUAGGAGAUUGACAGCAGCCUUUUGUGACCUACCUCCUCGACGAGGUCGAGUUUUUCUCCCACCCCGGGAGAGUUGAUGCGGACAUCAUCCUCAUUUUAUCUUUUAGUUAUUUAUUUUGGGCUUAUGUCUUUUACUUAUUUAUUUCGGGCCUAUGUCUCAUUGGGCUUGUAUAUGGGUUUGGUCCAAGCCCCCAAGUUAUUGUUUUGUUAUUUAUGUUAUUGUAAUUGGGAUCGAAAGUUAGCAGAUGAUGAAUGAAUGAAUUGUUGCCUUCCACUCCUCUGUCUUCUCUCUCCCCCCUCUUUCUUCUCUCACGUUUUCCCUUCUCUUUCCCCGGCUUCUUCCUCUUCUGCUUUUCUCUUCUUCUGCUGUUUCUUCCUACAUCACUAAAACUUGAAAUGGAAGGUGAUAACUUGUUGUACUGUAGAGAUGUAGCUAUAUCAUAAGGAGUACUAACCUUAUUUGAACCACCUGAACACAUGGAUUGAGGAUGAGCUGAGCAAGAAAGGAGAUUGCAAUGAUACUAUUCAAGGUAACUAGAAGUGUUCCUGACUUUAGACCUGCGAGGUAUAGGUGUAGAAGAGGGCCCAUUUGAAGUAGAAAUGGAAGUAUCCAAUUCUUGAGAGGGAAGAGGUUUAGGAAAAACGAAAGGAUUGUCAUAAGAAACGGAAGAUAAAUCUUUAUAAGGGAAGAUGUGUUCAUGAAAAACUACAUCUCGAGAUAUGAAAGAGGUAUGAAGAUCAAGAUCAUAAAGUUUAUAUCCCUUGACACCAUAAGGAUAUCCAAGAAAUAUACACCUACAAGCUCGAGGAGCAAAUUUUGAACGAUUGUGAGAGAGGGUAGAGGCAAAACAUAAGCUACCAAAGACUCUAAGAUGAGCAUUAAUAGGAGGUUUGGCAUAAAGGAUCUCAAAAGGAGACUUGUGUUGCAACAAGGGAGUUGGUAAACGAUUAAUCAAAUAUGCUGCAGUUAAGACAGCUUCUCCCCAAAAUUGAAGGGGUAACUUGGCUUGAAACAUCGAGCAGGUGCUGAUGUUUGCGUUCGACUACACUGUUUUGUUUAGGUGUAGCAACACAACUCUUUUGUUAAAUAAUUCCUUUUUCAGCACAAAAAUCUUGCAUAUCAAGGUUGGGAGCAUUAUCAGUGCAAAAUUGUUUUAUUUUAACUUGGAAUUGUGUUUCAACGAGAUUAUAGAACCAUUGAAUGUAUGAUCUUGAUUCAGAUUUAUAGUGCAAAAGAUAUAUCCAUGUGGAUCUAGAGAAGUCAUCCACUAAGGUGAGAAAAUACUAUGCACCAUUUAAAGAAGGAUGAGCAAAAGGCCCCCAUACAUCACAAGUACUAACUGAAACACGUGUGUAGAAAAUGUAUCACUAACAAAGAAAGGAUGCCUAUUUUGUUUAGCCAUUGGACAAAUAGUACAAAGGAAUUCUUUAGGACUAGAGAUUACUUUAGAAUUGGAGUUAACAAGACUUUUUAAACAAGUAGGAGACAAGUGACCUAGGCGAAAAUGCCAAAGAUUAAAACAACUUGAAUUUGCAGAGGAAGUAGCACAUGUAGGAGACUGUAGGAAACCUUGACAGAUGAUACAAUCCUCAUUUUUCUUCACCAAUACCAAUCGUCGUCCAUGAGAUAAGGUCCUGAAUAAAGCAGUAACGAGAUAGAAAAAUUAAGCAACUAUUAGAACUAUGUGUGAGUUUACUGGCUGAUAGCAAGUUGAAAGAAAAGGAAGGAACACACAGGACAUUUGUUAAACGAAGUUUAUUUGAAAUGAGAAUAGUGCCAAUAUGAGUAACUCGUACAGAAGCACCAGUAGGCAAUUGAGCAAAAGAAUUUACUUUAGCUGUUAUAGUGUUGAGAAGAGAAGUUGAACACACCAUGUGGUCUGUUGCUCCCGUAUCAAUAAUCCAGGGAGCAUUCGAAAAAGAAGUAGGAGUAGAAGAAAAUGAUGGGCAAUGAUUUAUACAUGUCAUAUUGCAUAAUUUGAAUUGAGGCUGAAAUAAUGGGGUGAGGUUAUCACACUUACUGACCAAAGAAGCGUCAACGGGUGGAGCAUUGAUUGGUUUAAGUAAAUUGAGGAGCUGAUUGUAUUGUUCUUGAGUGAGUGGCAUUGAAGAAAGAUUCUGCUCGCUGGAAGAUGCCAUUGAAUGAACUUGGCUUGAAGAAUUAAUUCCUUUACUCUUGCCUGAUUUAAAACCCUAGAGGAAAACCAAUAAUUCUGAAGCACUUGUCAGUCGUGUGGGACGUAUAACCACUUUCAGCACAAUAUAAUUUUCCUUUUCGAGGGCCAGAUGGCUGCUUGAAUGAACCAGAUGAAUAUUGAGGCAGAGAAGGACCAGGUGCUGUCUUGCUAGCCAUAGCAGCAGAGUCAAACUGAGGAGUAUAAUGACCAAUAUGUAUUUGAGUUUCCUCUUGUAAAAUCAAAGAGAAAACUUUGUUGAGAGAAGGCGAGGGAUCAGAUAACAGUAUUUACCUCUUAAUGCAGCAAAAAUCUCAUUCAGUCCCAUAAGAAAGUGCAGAACGUAAUCUUGAAGAUGAUAAUCCAGUAGAGUUUUAACACCAGGACUGGAAUCAUUAGGUAAAGGACGAUAAUUGAAAUAUUGAUCCCACAAGGUUUUGAACUUGGUGAAAUAAUUAGUCACUGAUGACGAACCUUGAGUAAGAGCGCAGAUCGACCUUUUCAAUUGAAAGAUGUGGGGAGCAUUUCCUUAACUAAAUCUCUCUUCCAUUUCUUUCCACAGGUCAGAUGUAGUAGCAAUAUAAGGAACACUAGCAGCAAUAUCUUUAUUCAAGGAGUUUUAAGAUCCAAGAGCAAACCAUGUCAUUACAACGAAUCCAUGCUUGAUAAGAAGGAUCAGUUGUAGAUGGCUUUGGGAGAUUUCCAUUGAUAAAGCCAAGCUUGUUCUUAGCAGAGAUGGCCAUGGACAUUGAUCUCUUCCAAGGAAAGAAAUUGGAUCCGUUAAGAACUUAAGAAACCCAUACAGUACCAGGACUGUCAUUGUUUGCUAAGAACAAAGGAUUAGAAGAAUCUUCAGCAGCCAUAAUCACAAUCAGCAAAGGAACUAAUAUAGAACGCAGUAGAAGACAUAAAAUUGCUUUGAUACCAUAUCAAAAAAGGAGCUAGAAAAAGGUAAAAGAAUGGGAAAAUCCGGAGAGAAUCAGACUCUCUUUUCUUUUGUAUUCUGUAAAGAACUGAUUAAUGUUGUACAUUGAUUCUAUUUAUAGAAUUAGCUAUCAAAUUGCCAGCUACAACUAACUGCAUUCGAACUGCUAACUAACAGCUGUAACUAUUUAUUCCAGCUCAUCUUUUCUAACUUCAACUGCCUGUAACUGCAGCUUCAACUUUAGUUUUCGUUUCAGCUUCAGCCACCGGUUUUGCUUCAACAAGUUGUUGGGUUGUAACACUGUGUUUCUUUUCAUCUUUUGAUUCAAUUCAGCUUGUGAGCACAUUUAAUCAUGGAACUUUGCACUCAUCAUCUGCGUCUGGUUUUAUGUCCAUUUGUAAGCAAAACUUCUAACCUUUGAAAUGCCUGGUUGGACGUUUUCUUUAUCUUUCCUUUCCUUGUACAAGCAAACGUUGAAUUGCCUCUUCCUUAUGAUGAUAUUAUUUCUCAGAAAUUGCUCAAGAUUAAAAAAACAGUAAAUAUAUUCAAAAAACUGUCUUUGUACUUCCUUUUUGUAGCCAUUCGCGGAAAUUGGUUUCUUGAUUUCUGACACACUAGAUGGAGGGAUCAAGCAAGGAUCACCAGGUACAAAUCAUUCCACGUGGUAGGAAAUUUUGUCUUCUAAUCACUUCUUCGGUUUUGCAAUAUAUUAGAAAGUUUUGUUCUCUGUUCUAUGUUUGGUGUAAAUAAAAUUGUAUCGUUAAUUUAAAUAGUGAAUUUUGUGAGUUGCAUAUUGAGAUACACAUACAAGUUAAGCAAUUUUUCUACGAAAUCUAAAUAUUGCUAAAUUGCACAAUGUGACAUUUAA